rnacentral:lncRNA from 1 species
AUGGAAACGCAGAGCUCACACCCUUCUGAUGAACAGACAGAAGUGUCAGAUCCUUUUCUAUGCUAGCAAAGGAUUUUAAGGGUUUGGAAUUCUCUAAAAGUGUAAAGCUCUUAGGAGGGCGUUACUUGGCAAAGCAGUGCUUUAUCUCAUUCUCUUGUUUGCCUGUUCAAACUUCCCACCCAUUGUAGACCCACUUGCUGUGUUAUUGCAGGUUAAGCCCCCAAGACCCUUUUCUCUCACCUUUUUUGUUCACUUCCCAUCCCCUUUCCUUUUCAGGUCAUCCUCCAUGCCCUUCUGAUGUCCACAUGUCUCUUCAUUUUCUUCUCAGGCCUCCUCUUUCUCUCACCAUCUAAGUUAUUGAAAUUCUUGAAAUCCUAAGCAGGCCUGGCACUGAGAGGUAAGGUACUCUGUAAGGGAGCUGAAACUUCCAGCCUUUCUUCCUAUUCACAAACCCACCUUUACCCGCCCCCAAUGCUGGACUUUGGUUUUUCAUAUUGCUUUUGCAGAACUUUAAAACAUUUGAAUCUUUCCUUGAUGAGUUUUUGUCCUGAGGGGCCAGUGCAGUUUUCUUGCCACUUUGUUUUCCUCUCAUAUAACUUUUCCCUGUCAAUAAGGCAUUUAGGCUGAGAGAAAAAGUUAUUGAGCAUGUGCAUCCAAAUUUGAGAUGAUUGUUAUUUCAUUACCUAAUGACUUUAACUUCUUUGAUACUGUGUUUGUCUUAUGAAUAUAAUGGCUUUCUCACUUUAAUG